AUUGAACGCUGGCGGCAGGCUUAACACCUGCAAGUCGCACGAGUGGCGGACGGGUGAGUAAUGCUUGGGAAUCUAGCUUAUGGAGGGGGAUACCUACGGGAAACUUUAGCUAAUACCGCGUACCAUAGGAUGAGCCCAAGUGGGAUUAGGUAGUUGGUGAGGUAAAGGCUCACCAAGCCGACGAUCUCUAGCUGGUCUGAGAGGAUGACCAGCCACAGUGGGACUGAGACACGGCCCAGACUCCGACGGGAGGCAGCAGUGGGGAAUAUUGCGCAAUGGGGGCAACCUGACGCAGCCAUGCCGCGUUAAUGAAGAAGGCCUUCGGGUUGUAAAGGUCUUUCGGUAGCGAGGCGUUAACUACAGAAGAAGCACCGGCUAACUCCGUGCCAGCAGCCGCGGUAAUUC
rnacentral:rRNA from 1 species